rnacentral:rRNA from 1 species
GUCCACGCUGUAAACGAUGAUUACUCGAUGUUGGCGAUAAACAGUCAGCGUCUUAGCGAAAGCGUUAAGUAAUCCACCUGGGGAGUACGCCCGCAAGGGUGAAACUCAAAGGAAUUGACGGGGGCCCGCACAAGCGGUGGAGCAUGUGGUUUAAUUCGAUGAUACGCGAGGAACCUUACCUAGGCUAGAAUGCGCGUGACCGCUCCAGAGAUGGAGCUUUCCUUCGGGACACAAAGCAAGGUGCUGCAUGGCUGUCGU